rnacentral:rRNA from 1 species
UAACGCGAAAGGACCUUACCUAAGCUUGACAUCCCAUUGACCUCUCCCUAAUCGGAGAUUUCCCUUCGGGGACAAUGGUGACAGGUGGUGCAUGGUUGUCGUCAGCUCGUGUCGUGAGAUGUUGGGUUAAGUCCCGCAACGAGCGCAACCCUUGCCUUUAGUUGCCAGCAUUAAGUUGGGCACUCUAGAGGGACUGCCGAGGAUAACUCGGAGGAAGGUGGGGAUGACGUCAAAUCAUCAUGCCCCUUAUGCUUAGGGCUACACACGUGCUACAAUGGGUGGUACAGAGGGUUGCCAAGCCGUGAGGUGGAGCUAAUCCCUUAAAGCCAUUCUCAGUUCGGAUUGUAGGCUGAAACUCGCUUACAUGAAGCUGGAGUUACCUAGUGGUCGCGUGCUCAUUA